rnacentral:lncRNA from 1 species
UGCAUCAUAGAUAUCAAACAAUAUGCAGACUAGAACUUACUAGCAUGGGCUACAUUUUGAUUAACCCUAGGCUAAGCUUUGCUUCAUUAAUGAAUAAAACAUGAAAUCUCAGUGGCUUACAAGAAUAGAAAUUUGUAUUUUGCUUAUGCAAUGUAUAUUGUGAUUAUUCCCGGUCUUGACUCUGCCAGGCAGCUCCCUUUCAAAUAGUGAUGCAAGAAUCCAGUUCUCUUCCCUCUUCUACUUUUCUAUGUAGUAUCUAAUGUCCUACCAGAAGGAGAAUGUGGGUAGGCACACCUAAUAUUAAGUCACUUGGUCCUGAAGGGAUUGGCACCACUUCAGCUAAUAUCCUCUUGCCAGAACUAGUCACAUGACCAAACUAACUGCAAGAUUCUGGGAAAUGUAAAGGAGCACGUGAGUAUUGAUGAACUCUAGCAUUCUCUCACAUACAUAACUUCAUAUAUUCUGUGUUCUCCUUGUUCCUAUUUCCACACCCACCUCACAGUAUGCACAAGUGUCAAAUGUUCUCUUGAGUAUUUAAAAUGCAACUUAGAAGGUCUGUGUGAGACUCACAUUGCCUGUCUCAGGUCCUAACUGCCUAGACAAAUCUUACUGCCAUUUCUUCUCUAUGGCUGGCGAUACUCUUCUGGCCUUGGCAGAUAUCUGGGAAAUUUUCAAUAAGAACUCUGCAUUAAGUCUCUUUGGUAUUCAGGUUUCCAUUUGUUCUAGAGAGUUUAUCAUCCCAUUUGGGAUUCUUUUGAGAGGAUCAUGUUAGAGCAGACUUAGACCUUGUUCAGGGACACUCUUAGAGUCAAACUCUUUAGCUUCCCUUCUGACUUUCCUCUUUCUCAGUAUCAUUAGGAAUCCUAAAAUUCAAGGCAGGAAAAGUAGUUCUUUAGUCAUCAUCAUGCAUUCUUCCUAAAUUUACCCUUUACGGGAUACAUUUUGACUUUGGUACUCAAAAGACUUUAUUUUCAGAUUUUUGCAACCCUUCAACUGCUUUUUUUUUCUCAACCUAUAGCCUCUUUUAGAAGUUCAAACAUCUAUUUAGGUAUACUAUUCCUGUUCAGGAUGUAGAAGGAUGUGAACAACCAUGUGUUAAAAACUAUUACAAAGUGGAUACAAUAAAAUAAUCAUACUUGUACACAUCUAUAAAGGCUAUUGAAUAAUAGUGGAUGCUGAGAAAUCUUGAUGAACUAAAUUCCAGGGGGACUUGAGCUCUUCAUUGAUGAACAAAGAGCCACAGACACUUCCGUACUUGAAAGCAAGUACCUAUGAAGAGUGAAAGUGGUCAGAGGAGUAAGCCUGAGAGAGAUGAGAGAUUUUGAGGGACAAAGAAAAUACAUCUGAACUUUUAGUGACAUAGUUGGCUGGCCAUGAUGGAUUGGAAUUUUGAAGAGCCCCAAAUGGAAAAAUAAAUCACUUGGUCCUAUCUUUUAAGAAUUUCCAUUUCAUGCCCUAAGCAUUUUGCUGACUAAGCAGCAGAGAAUGUAGUAGAGUUUGCAGUGGAGAUAAGGCCAGAAAGCAGAGAGAGUUUGUAUAGUAUAUGGUGCUCAGGUUUUAGGGACUUGGUGGGGGUCAAUAAAAAUUUAAAGUGGCAAGCCAGUGUCCCCCCCCCAGCUCAAAUCUUAAUCAUAUCAAGGAGAUAAAUCCUUGAGGGUAGAACUGAAGGAAAAAUUAAUCUCUUUGUUUUAUUUUGAAGCUGGAGGUAAAAUCAAAUCAAAGUUGCAUCCUACCCUAGCUCAAGUCAAUUCUUGGUAGAAUCUGAAUUACAAGCUCCUGAUCCUACCUGCCUUCUAGACUAGAUGAGUUCCCCUUUCUAUGAAAAA